CCCUUAGAUGUUCUGGGCUGCACGCGUAUUACACUGAUGCGUUCAUCAAGCGCCACACCUUGGCCCGAGAGGCCUGGGUAACCUUGAAAUCGCAUCGUGCUAGGGAUAGAUCAUUGUAAUUUUUGGUCUUCAACGAGGAAUUUCUAGUAGGCGUCAGUCAUCAACUGGCACCGAUUACGUCCCUGCCCUUUGUACACACCGCCCGUCGCUCCUACCGAUUGAAUGGUCCGGUGAAGCGUUUGGACUAUGGUUUUCUGACGGUUCGCCAUUGGAUUACCGUGGGAAAUUCGUUAAACCUUAUCAUUUAGAGGAAGGAGAAGUCGUAACA
rnacentral:rRNA from 1 species